rnacentral:rRNA from 1 species
UACGUAGGGUGCAAGCGUUAAUCGGAAUUACUGGGCGUAAAGCGUGCGCAGGCGGUGAUGUAAGACAGGUGUGAAAUCCCCGGGCUUAACCUGGGAACUGCAUUGUGACUGCAUCGCUGGAGUGCGGCAGAGGGGGAUGGAAUUCCGCGUGUAGCAGUGAAAUGCGUAGAUAUGCGGAGGAACACCGAUGGCGAAGGCAAUCCCCUGGGCCUGCACUGACGCUCAUGCACGAAAGCGUGGGGAGCAAACAGG